AUAUCAAUAAGCGGAGGAAAAGAAACCAACAGGGAUUGCCUUAGUAACGGCGAGUGAAGCGGCAAAAGCUCAAAUUUGAAAUCUGGCACCAGCCCGAGUUGUAAUUUGCAGAGGAUGCUUCGGCUCCGCCCCGGCCCAAGUUCCCUGGAACGGGACGUCGCAGAGGGUGAGAAUCCCGUUGCGGCCGGUGGCUUCCGCCAUGUGAAGCUCCUUCGACGAGUCGAGUUGUUUGGGAAUGCAGCUCUAAACGGGAGGUAAAUUUCUUCCAAAGCUAAAUACCGGCCAGAGACCGAUAGCGCACAAGUAGAGUGAUCGAAAGAUGAAAAGCACUUUGGAAAGAGAGUUAAACAGUAC
rnacentral:rRNA from 1 species